AAUCUAAGUAGAUUCCGGCCGCAAUCAGGUCUAUUUAGAGGCCCUCUUCGACUCCUCUCUCACACUCACCGAAGAUUCAAGCCUGAACAGAGCUCUUCAUGGGAUAUUUUCUUGGUUUUUCUCUCUGAAUGCCGGCCGCUACCGAUGUUGUUGUCACUGCCAUUUGCUGCCGGGAACUAGGUAAGGUCCCGAUUAGCCUUAAUUUAUCCAAUCUCUUUCUCUUUCGAUCUCGGUUAUUUCCGCCGUCGGCGCUUAUCACGGAGAUUCUCCUACGGUUCACUAUGAUGGCUUAUGCCUUGGCCAGAGUUCCGACCGUCGGGACGUCUUGAUUCCUUGAGAUAAGGGAGCGGAACCCCUAUUUUAGGAGGAUUUUUGCUCGUUACCAGUUGCCGUCGAUCGCCGUCCACAGUAGAAAGCCGUGGGUCCUUGAUGUCGAGCACCACCUACAGCCACUCUCUUCCUUUCUCUUUCUUCGUUAGAGAGAGAAGCUUAUUUUCUCUCUUUUCUCUCUUCCCCAUACUUUCUCUCUCUGCAAAGUUUCUCUCUCUUGACACAUGGGCCAGACAUGCUGAUUGAUCCAGGUUGAUCUGUGCUAUUAACAAUCAAACCCAGACCUCUAAUUGAAUCGAAACUGGGAUUCUCUCUCUUCUCCAUCCCUUCUCUCUACAAGUUUCUCUCUUUAUAUGAACUUUCUCUCUCUAAAAUUGUUUGGACCCCAUAAGUACGA
rnacentral:lncRNA from 1 species